ACACUGUAAAAAAAAAUCCGUAAAAAUACAGUACAAUCUACUGUAUAAACGUGAAGGAAUUUUCCGUAUUAGUCAUUUACAGGUAUUUUUCUGUAUUUCUGAACUACUGCAAUGCAUUGUGGGAAAAAGAAACCGAAAAGGAGGGAAAAGUCAGAGCAAGAGCAGCCAUUAGACUUCUUUCAGGCUUCAUCUGGAUUUUGGACUCUGGAGUUGGAGAAACUGCCUUCAAAUUUCUGUGUGCAGAGCAAUGGCCAAGAAAAGGAAAGACUUCCCCGAGUGAAAAAAAAGAUGAAGAUACAAGCUGGUGAUGAUCCAGAGCAGCUGGUCUCAGGAAAUGAAGAAAAACCCUGAUCACAUUUUCCACAGAAACAAGACUAAAUUGCGACUAGUCUCAAUGGCUGAGAUGGAGGAGCAACACAGCGACACGUUAACCCGACUGCUGAAGUUCCCGUAUGAACUGAGCAACUCUAAAAAUCCAAGGAAAAGCUGAGUGUAUUUUAUUUAAAGCUCAGAUGGAACUUGAUGGACUAACAUGCAGGCUGCAUUCAGGACUUUGUCACACUGGUAUAUGAAGAGUGGUAACAAGAGAAAUUGUGCACACACAAUGUGUCACUUUAUGCUUGCUCUUCUCCAGCCUCUGGUGUCACUUUGUAGUAAUUAGUCUUACUAUUGUCUUAUUUGUUUGUUGUGAUUUAGGGUGUGUGCGCACAAGCAGAGGUUUUUGUUUGUAACUGUAACCUCGUUUUCAGAGCCUGGUUUAACAUUUAAUGGUCGUGAAAUAUGUCAGACUUUUUCCUCUACUUAAACAGCUAAGAGCAUUUGAACAGAGUGGAGAAAAAGGUGUGCAUUAAGGAUUUUGAACUAUGAUGUUUAAGUGUUGUCACUGCUGAGGAUCCUUAUUCACUACGCUGCUGUUUACAGUUUAACUUUUCAUCAGAACAAGCACUUCUAAUUGUACUUUGCUCCUCACUGACAAAACAAGUCCAGUAAAUGCACUUUUAUCUUCAUGUUUGGGACAGUAAUCUGUCUUAAUUUAUUUUGUGUUUUAGUUAUCAUAUGGGGAAAAGUUCUGUGGUUAUCUAUCUGUCCUGUUCGCAUAAAGCCAAAAUUCAGGAACAUCUUCUCUAGAUCUGUUCAGUUUUAUUCAUGUGGCACGACUUAAACAGUCAAGUAUGUUAUAUUGUAAGGUAAAGACCCCAAAGAGUUAAUCUCGGACAAAUGUUCACACAAAUGUGAAUUGCAUUCACUUCAUUAAUGAAGUGAAU